rnacentral:misc_RNA from 1 species
ACAAACUUGGUCAUUUAGAGGAAGUAAAAGUCGUAACAAGGUUUCCGUAGGUGAACCUGCGGAAGGAUCAUUACUGAGGUACGCUCGGUGUCGCGUCAGCGCGCCGGUUACCCGCCCUUAUGUCACCUGCACUGAACCUCUCUCGCCUUCGGGUGGGUAGGGUCAGGAACAUUACUUCGGUCGAGGUGUUGUGCUCUGCCUGCCUCAGCGGGCCAGAGGAUGACCGCGACCGGCCUUAUUUUUCUACAAUUCUUGGGUAAGCUUGAAGUCUGAUAAAAAAUACGAAAAAAGCAAAAACUUUCAACAACGGAUCUCUUGGCUCUGGCAUCGAUGAAGAACGCAGC